rnacentral:lncRNA from 1 species
UGAUGGAACAGUAACCUAUUUCAUGUGUCUGUGAUAAUUGGGUCGGCUCAGUUCAAAACUAAGUCGGUUCAAUUAGCAUGCCAACAGAUUUUCAAAGAGUUUCAACACAUAAAAACUCUGCAUAAUCUGAAAUAAAAUCAAUCAUAAACAAAUUUUUAGAUCAUAUCUAAACAUUGUAUGAUUUUAGAUUUUAUUUUUUAUAACUAAAAUAAUUUUAAUCAC